AACGAACGCUGGCGGCAGGCUUAACACAUGCAAGUCGAGCGCCCCGCAAGGGGAGCGGCAGACGGGUGAGUAACGCGUGGGAAUCUACCCAUCUCUACGGAAUAACGCAUGGAAACGUGUGCUAAUACCGUAUACGUCCUUCGGGAGAAAGAUUUAUCGGAGAUGGAUGAGCCCGCGUUGGAUUAGCUAGUUGGUGGGGUAAAGGCCUACCAAGGCGACGAUCCAUAGCUGGUCUGAGAGGAUGAUCAGCCACACUGGGACUGAGACACGGCCCAGACUCCUACGGGAGGCAGCAGUGGGGAAUAUUGGACAAUGGGGGGAACCCUGAUCCAGCCAUGCCGCGCGAGUGAUGAAGGCCCUAGGGUUGUAAAGCUCUUUCACCGGUGAAGAUAAUGACGGUAACCGGAGAAGAAGCCCCGGCUAACUUCGUGCCAGCCGCCGCCGUAAAAC
rnacentral:rRNA from 1 species